UGUGUGGCUGUCAGCCACCAUCAGCUCUCUGCUCCUGGUCUCCAUCCCCACGGGGCCCAGGGUGCCCUGAGCCCAGGAGUUAGGCAAAGGCUGGGCAUCCAGCCUCCUCACCCCAAGCUGGGGACUUCAGCCGGGGCUGGGGCUGGCGGGUCUGAGGAGGGUGUUCUUCAGCUGCCUGAGCCAGGCUGGCCCCGGGGGCCGCUGUGUCCUUGAGACCCACCCCGGUGUCUGAGAUCUUAACUUGCACUGGAGCAAUUAAAAAAAAGCCUCUUCUUCUCUUAGGAUCUGAGUCACAUCAUAAUAUAUGAGGGCAGAGACACUGAGAGAGACCCCAUCCACAAUAAAAAAAAAAAUAAGUAAUAUAAAUGAUAAAUCAUAAAAUAGCUAUUAUUUUUGAUAGAAUCCAAUAAAUAUGAAUGCAUACAUAUUUGAGCACAAUAAUACUCAAGCAUUGAAUAUUUACCAAGCACUGUGCUAAGCUUGCAGUAUCUCACUUAAUCCUGACAACAGCCCUCAGAGGCAGGCAUUAGAAUUAUUAUCCUAUUAUACAGACUAAACCGAGGCAGAGAAAUGACAUUAUUUGCCCAGGGUCACAGGAUAAAGAAGAUGAGCCAGGACUGAAAGGCCAUCCGACACCCAGGCCUGCAGGAGAGUGAAUAUAACAUUGUACAUACAGAACCUUCACAUAGCUGUCCCCCCACCCCAGCUCCCAGGCCCCCAUCCCACUGCCACCUUGUCCCACCCCGUCUCAGUGGCCUUUUUCAGUCCAGAUUAGGCCAUACUUCCCUCACCCACUGUCCAGCACACUUUCCAUAAUUAAAAAAGAAACAAUCUCAUGGACACGGAGAUCAGAUAUGUGGUUGCCAAGGGGGAGGGGAAGAGAGGGGGACGGACUGGGAGUUUGGGGUUAGUAGACGCAAACGGUUGCAUUUGGAGUGGAUGAGCAAUGAGAUCCUGCUGUAUGGCACAGGGAACUCUCUCCAGCCACUUGUGAUGGAACAUGAUGGAGGAUAAAGUGAGAAAAAGAAUAUAUAUAUACAUGACUGGGUCACCUUGCUGUACAGCAGAAAUUGACAGAACAUUGUAAAUCAACUAUAACAGAAAACAUAAAAAUCUUAAAAAUAAAAAAAAAAUCAGUCAAGGGAGUUCCUGUCGUGGCUCAAUGGUAAUGAACCCAACUAGGAUCCAUGAGGACACAGGUUCAAUCCCUGGCCUCGCUCAGUGGGUUAAGGAUCCAGUGUUGCCGUGACCUGGGGUAUAGGUCUCAGACACACCUUGGAUCUGGCGUGGCUAUGGCUGUGGAGUAGGCCAGUGGCUAUAGCUCCGAUUUGACCCCUAGCCUGGAAACCUCCAUAUGCUGUGGAUGCGGCCCUAAAAAGCAAUAAAUAAAUAAAAGUCAAUCCCUGGAGGUGAGAAAAUGUAGGAACUAAGUCAAGCACCUUGAAGAUUCACUGUGCUGGGAAGUGGUUCCUUCAAGGGGCAUCCACGGAAAUUUUCACCAGCCUCGCCUUCUCUCAUUCAGGGCCCUCAUAGCUGUUAAGUGCCCUUAAGAGCCUACGGGAAUGUUUAAGGCUCUUGCAGCGAACUCCAAAGAAAAGAAAACUGCAAAAUUGAAAUUAAUGGAGGUUUGAUUAAAUUCCUGCAGAAACAUCACGCUAAGCUUCAUGAAUAGUUAAAUUUGGAAUUCAUAAAAAAUUCAUGAUGCUGAAAAACAAUAAGGCUUGCUUUUCUUUGCCGAGAUUUGCUAGUUGGCAUAAUGAUUGUUGAGAAACCACGGCCAGUCGUAAAUUAGAUGCCGUCCUUGUAGGCGAACCGUUUCAAAAGCGGAAUUAUAAAAGUCAUAUCCUAUUUUUUUACAGCCAAAAUGUUAAAUAAUUUGUUCGAAUCAGCCAGAUGGGAAUCACGGGUGAUGUGGAUGUUGACUACUCUGAAAGGACAUGGGGUGAAGUCGCCAAAAGAAGAAUCCCUUAAAUCAUACCGCCACCCCAAACCUUGAGAAAGUUCCACAUAUGCAAGAAACAGAGCCCGGUUGCUAGAGGGAAAGGGUGGCCCUGAUUGAUAGGGUGCCCCUUGGCCCUGAGUGGGGAGGCCCAUGCGGGGACCUGGCCUUCUUGAAUGAAACGCAGCAUUUAUCCAGCCAGCCCAUCCCUGGAAACUGUUUGCAUGUGUCCAAUAGGUU
rnacentral:lncRNA from 1 species